UCUUACCUAAACCAAGGAGAAAGAUGCUUGUGUUAGGUCUUUAUUGGUGAAUAAUGCACUUACAUCUAGAAGUGUGAAAGCUUCUAAAACAUACAGAUUCCUCAUGGUGUCAGAGAUAAUUAUAUAUUAGAGGAAAUUAUUUUUCAUGACAAGAGUACAAUAGUGUGUUAAUGGGAGCAAAAGUGCCACUCUCUCACAGGAGAGAUCAAUGUAGAUACAAAUUGUUCUACAUUCAUUUGAAUUUUUGCUUGCUAAGAGAUGCUUCAUCAUAAGUGCUUUAAGUUAUGCUUUUCCAAAUUGUACAGGUUGAAGACACCAUUCGUGCAAGUUACAUUCUAGGACAAGGGAGUACAUGGAAGAAUUUAAGUAAUCAUUAAGCGACAGCUCUUAAGGAGCAAAAGCAUGUUAUUUCAGGAAGUAAUUCCAUAAGUUUUGUUAUGGAUGCAUACAGCCGGAAGUCGAGAAUGAAUGGCAAAACAAAGAUUGCAUCAAGUCAUAAUAUUUUGUCACCAAAAGGCAUGUUUUGUCAAUGUCCAGUAUCUCUGGAGGCCCUCAGACAAGCCUGUCCUAUGACUCGCAGCUCACCACAGACCUACUUCAACCAUGACUGAAGAGGAUGAAGACAACUUCACAUGUUGAAUCAUGUAAGUAAUUUCAGGCAUACACGGACCCUGGUCAGAUGAGAUUGGAGAUCCAGACAACGAACUGAACUGUUUGCAAUCACACAUGUGGGAGAAAAGCCCUCAAAUUCAUGGUCUAGUAGGCCCCACAGAACUCGAUUUCUGAGUUGGAGUCAAAGUCCACCCCAAUCAAUUCAAGAAGUCCAGUGUGAACUGAGGACUUGUUCCUCAGAAAUGCCUUUCACUACCCAAUUGUCUAGGAACAAAAAGAUAUGAAUUCCCCUCCUUCUCAGAUAGGCUGCUGUUACCAUUGUCAUGCAUUUGGUAAAGAUGCACAAGGCUGACGAUGGGCCAGUGGUGAGAACUGAUGGGCCAGAUAAAGUUGACUGGCGACAAGAAAUCUCAUAAAUUGCCUGUGGCCUGGGAAAACUGCUAAAUGGAAAUAGGUGUCCUGAAGACUGAGAACAAACCCAUCAUUGUGAUUCAAUGUGGGGGGAAAAGUAGCCAGGAUAAACAUGCAGAAUCUCAUAAACUUGAAUUGUUGAGAUCGCAGAGACUGAGGAUAGGUCUCACCCCUUCCUUGGACUUGGGGAUCAGGAAAUACCGAGAGUAGAAUACUUUUUUCAGAUGAAAAGAAGGAACACCUCCUCUAUAACUUCCAGAGCACACAGAGUCUGGACCUGCUGAAGAAGCAGUUACACAUGAGAGGGGUCCCUAAAAGGAAUGGGGAAAAGGCCUGAUGUAUAGUAAAGCUGAAGAUAUACCUCUCAAUUUUCAAGCCUUUUAAUGUGUGGCAAGUCACUGAAAUAUUUGACCACAGACAAAAUCUGUGUUUCACAUAUCAGUUGCACAUCAUGCCAUAUUUUAAGUUUAAAACUUGUUUUUAAAAUAUGUUCCCUCAUUUUAUAACUCAAAGCAUUUCUGAAACAGGAUAUGGAUGAGGAAGAAGGUCUCUGCCCAGAAUACUCAGGAUUUUGUUGGAGGAGCCCUAUGUGGUUUUAUCAUGGGAUUCUAAUGGAAAAGGUGGUCCCUGCAUAGGCUUACCUCAAUACAAUUAAUUCAUGCCACCUUCUAUCAAUCUACCUUGUCCAAAUACAAUUAAUUCAGGUCAAAAUCUACCUCUCUGCAUUACUUCAUAGCUAUUGCCUCUAAUGAGGUCCACUUCUGCUGCACGCCCUCUCCAUCCCCUCCAAGAAGCAGGAGAUGUUUCUGAGAGGGUACACAGCCACCCAGGAACUGUUGGUGGAGGAAGGAGGCCGCAAGGUGGCUCUUCAUAGCCUGUGAGGCUAACAGUUCAGGGCCCUAUUUCAUUCACUCACCCCAUUACGUGAAGAGUUUUGUGAUCCAGCCUGCUCCCUCCCUCCGACUCCUCUUUCAUACAGUACUUAUAGGGGAAGGGCAGAAAUAUGCAAGACCACCCCUUCUGUCUGAGGAUGGUUUCCUUCUUCCAUCACCCCUACCAGUCAGCUGCUAUUGUGUAGCACCACAAAUUAAGGCAAUAUUGUGUACGAUAUGGAAGCAAAAUCUGCUCCAGCAUGGAAUGCACUGCAUAAUGUAGCACACAUCAAAUCCCUGGCUGGAAAAAUUCUGGAAAAAACAAAAAGGAACCAAAUACUAUAAGGAAAACUUCAAAACAGUCUCCCCUCAGGAGCUAAAAAAGGAUGCCAUGUUAUAGUCUUAGGUAAGAUUCAUACCAGGUUUCUCUGUUUUUCUCUUUAGCUUCUCUUUCAUAUUUCUCAAGUGUUCUUUUGUCAACCAUUCCUGUUAAGUACCUGGGGCGUGAGGAAGGGGGAAAAAAAAGAAAAAAAUACAUUUUACAUUAAGUACAUGGCAACUAAAUUUCUAUUCAAAUGGAGUAUAUCAGCAGUUCUCAAAGUGUGGCUCGGGACCCCAAAAUGGGUCAUGACCCCCUUUUAAUGGGGUCACCAGGGCUGGCGUUAGACUUGCUAGGACCUAGGUCCGAAGCCAAAGCCCGAGCUCCACUGCCUGGAGAUGAAGCCGCAGCCUGAGGGCUUCAGGCCUAGGUGGUGGGGCACAGGUUACAGGCCCCCCUGCCUCGGGUGGCGGGGCUCGAGCGGGCUCAUGCUUUGGUCCCCCCCUCCUGGUGUCAUGUAGUAAUUUUUGUUGUCAGAAGGAGGUUGUGGUGCAAUGAAGUUUGAGAACCCCUGGAGUAUAUGAUCUGAUUACUCUGUAGAUCUGAGGUAUGGUCUGAAAAUGGUAACAAUGGAAUUUCUGCUCUCAGAAGAGCAAUUCCAUAAUUCAAAAAGUAAGGCAUGACUAUCUGUUAAGAAAGUAAAGGGCAAACAAGGCAUAAGCCUACCUACUACAUGAGCUCCACAGUUUAAAAGGUAAACAAAUGACAUUCUUAAAAUAAAAAAAUAGAAGGCUGUAUAUUACAUUUUAAAAUGCUUCAAUUUAAUAAAUUUUAAAAGAGUACAAAAUCUAAUAUAUUCGUUUCACAGACAUGACCACCCAAGGAAUGGUCUUCUUUUAGAAUGUCUUUUAAUCAAGCAAGUACUAUUUUUCAGGACUGUUUUAAAACAAGUGUUUAAAGGAAAAUAUACACAUACACAGAGACAUCCAUAGUUAGAAUAGAACAGUUACAGAAGAUUGGAUUAGUCAAAACUUCCAAUUUAUUUGUUAAAUCUUAAAACAAAUAAAUGUUAGAGACAAUAAAACCACGUACAAGAGACACAAAAUAUAAAAGGAGAAAAGGAAAAGAGGUAUCAGCAACUAAAAGCAUUAUAUUCUAAACCAAACCAGAUCAUAAGUGACUGAGUCACUGCCCAUAGAAUUACAAAAUGGUAAUCGAAAUCAGAAACCUUGGCAUAUAAGUUUACAUAAAAGAAAAAUGCUAACAGUUAGGUGAAGGCUAAAAGACAAAUAUCUUUGACCAGCGCCUUUUUAAAUUGGCAAGGAAAGGAAAGUUGCAUUUUUCCACAGAUCUUUUGCAUAUUAAAAGCCUAGAGAUAUAUAGUAUUAUACAAAGAGUAUCUAAUAACAUAUCAGUUAUGUUGCUUUUCCUUAAAGCUUCAAUCCGAUCUUUUAAUGGUAAGAAUGGGUCUGUUUAGUUUAGAAAGGAAACUAGUAAGUGGGGAAAUUAUAGCAGCAUUCAGAAUAAUUAAUGGCUGAGAGAAGGUAGAGAGCCUAUUUACUUUUUCUCAUAAUAAAAAAGGGAUAUGCAACAAAAUUUAAAAAGGCAUACUUUUUUUUAAAAAAACUACAGAACUAACUUAUGGAACUAAUUGACACAAAGUAUCGACAUAGAACUUUUAAAAAUUAACACCUAAGUGGAUAAUGAGUGCUUCCAGUGACAGAGAUUAAAAUAUACUCUUGUGGCUUAAGAGUGUGACAUCGUGCGGCAUAGUAAAAGCCAACUUCUAAAAGGCUGGCCUUAUGAAAACACUUCUCCUAUGGGAAAGUUAUUCCAGAUUUAUUCAGUACUUGUUUAAUUUUAUAUAAAGAAAACUGACAAUUUAUAAUCUGGAAUUAUUUAAAAUCAGUAUCUGGAUUUCAAUAUAUGGAUAACGAUAAUAUCAGAUGCUGAGCAUAUUCAAAUCAAAGACAAUGACUUACUAAAUUAAUAGACCUGGAGUGGUAUUUCAUUAAAAAAAAACAAACAAAAAAAACAAACCACAGAUUAAAAAAAACCAAAACACAGUCUAUGCUCACUAAAACCAAUCAUACUAUUUACUUCCCAUGCGUUAUAAUUCACAAUAUUAAAGACUGUAAUAGUUUAAAGAAAUCUUAUUUUUAAAAAUUACGUACAUUAUUUGUCCUCCAAUGGUUGAUUUACCAGCAUCUAACAAACAUACAAAACAAAGAUACUUUAAAGUCAUUCCGUCUUAAGUAUUAAAAAAAAAUAAAAUAAAAUAAAA